ACAGUCUGCUAAAUGAUCGCUGACAUCCGCGAGGGUGUGAGAGGAAAGUCCGGGCAGCGUAGGACAUGACAGUUGUUAACGGCAACCGGGGGUGACCCUAGGGAAAGUGCCACAGAAACGAAACUACCUGCGCAUGCGUAGGAAAAGAUGAAACGAGUGAGGUAAGAGCUCACAGCAUUCCAUGGCGACAUGGCGUGGAGGUAAACCCUGUCAGCUGCAAGGAGGUCUGCAUAAAAAGGGCGGUUCGUCCGCAGGCCGAUACCCGCUUGAUCUCGAGGGCAACUUCGAGGCUAGAUAGAUGAUCGUUCUCGACAGAACCCGGCUUAUCGGUAGACUGCCAAC
rnacentral:RNase_P_RNA from 1 species